rnacentral:rRNA from 1 species
UGGGGAAUCUUGCACAAUGGGGGCAACCCUGAUGCAGCGACGCCGCGUGAGCGAUGAAGCCCUUCGGGGCGUAAAGCUCUUUCGACCGGAACGAUAAUGACGGUACCGGGAGAAGAAGCUGCGGCUAACUACGUGCCAGCAGCCGCGGUAAUACGUAGGCAGCAAGCGUUGUUCGGAGUUACUGGGCGUAAAGAGUGCGUAGACGGUUUUCUAAGUUCGGUGUGAAAUCUCCCGGCUUAACUGGGAGGGUGCGCCGAAGACUGGGAAGCUGGAGUGUGGGAAAGGCAGGCGGAAUUCCUGGUGUAGCGGUGAAAUGCGUAGAUAUCAGGAGGAACACCGGCGGUGUAGACGGCUUGCUAGACCAUAACUGACGCUGAGGCACGAAAGCGUGGGUAGCAAAC